AACGAACGCUGGCGGCAGGCCUAACACAUGCAAGUCGAGCGAGGACUUCGGUUCUAGCGGCGGACGGGUGAGUAACGCGUGGGAAUGUGCCCUUCUCUACGGAAUAGCCCUGGGAAACUGGGAGUAAUACCGUAUACGCCCUUUUGGGGAAAGAUUUAUCGGAGAAGGAUCAGCCCGCGUUGGAUUAGGUAGUUGGUGGGGUAAUGGCCUACCAAGCCGACGAUCCAUAGCUGGUUUGAGAGGAUGAUCAGCCACACUGGGACUGAGACACGGCCCAGACUCCUCCGGGAGGCAGGAGUGGGGAAUUUUAGACAAUGGGGGAAAACCUGAUCUAGCCAUGCCGGGGGAGGUAUGAAGGCCUUAGGGUUGAAAAGCUCUUUCAGCUGGGAAGAUAAUGACGGUACCAGCAGAAGAAGCCCCGGCUAACCCCGU
rnacentral:rRNA from 1 species